CGGGGCGUGGCGCAGUUGGUUAGCGUGCUUGACUGGGGGUCAAGAGGUCGCUGGUUCAAAUCCAGUCGCCCCGACCC
rnacentral:tRNA from 1 species